GAAGCUGGCCAGGCAGCCGCUGCGCGCUUCGCGGCGCGGAGAGGAAAGUCCGGGCUCCACAGGGUAGGGUGACGGUUAACGGCCGUCCGCCGUGAGGCGAGGAAUAGGGCCACAGAGACGAGUCCCGGCGUGCAAGCGUCGGGGGUGAAACGCGGCAACCUCCACCCGGAGCAACACCAAAUAGGCAAGCGACGACGCGACCCGCCGAGCUUGCGGGUAGGUGGCUUGAGCCCUGGCGCAAGCCGGGGCCUAGAGGAAUGGCUGUCGGGAGGCCGCAAGGCUUCUUACAGAACCCGGCUUACCGGCCAGCUUCACUU
rnacentral:RNase_P_RNA from 1 species